rnacentral:rRNA from 1 species
CGAGGGAUGGGCCCGCGGCCUGUUAGCUGGUUGGCGGGGCAGCGGCCCACCAAGGCGAUGAUGGGUAGCCGGGUUGAGAGACCGACCGGCCAGAUUGGGACUGAGACACGGCCCAGACUCCUACGGGAGGCAGCAGUGGGGAAUCUUGCACAAUGGGCGGAAGCCUGAUGCAGCGACGCCGCGUGCGGGACGAAGGCCUUCGGGCUGUAAACCGCUUUCAGCAGGGACGAGGCGCAAGUGACGGUACCUGCAGAAGAAGCCCCGGCUAACUACGUGCCAGCAGCCGCGGUAAUACGUAGGGGGCAAGCGUUAUCCGGAUUCAUUGGGCGUAAAGCGCGCGUAGGCGGCCAGCCUGGUCGGGAGUCAAAUCCGGGGGCUCAACCCCCGUCCGCUCCCGAUACCGGCCGGCUUGAGUCUGGCAGGGGAAGGCGGAAUUCCCGGUGUAGCGGUGGAAUGCGCAGAUAUCGGGAAGAACACCGGUGGCGAAGGCGGCCUUCUGGGCCACGACUGACGCUGGGGCGCGAAAGCUAGGGGAGCGAACAGGAUUAGAUACC